rnacentral:rRNA from 1 species
AGCGAACGUUUGCGGCGGGCCUAACACAUGCAAGUCGAACGAGAAUCUCUUCGGAGAGGAAAGUGGCGCACGGGUGCGUAACACGUGGAUAACCAACCCCCUGGUUCGGGAUAACAUCGGGAAACUGGUGCUAAUACCGGGUGUGUCUGUGAGGCCGUCAGGCUUUGCAGAGAAAGACACGCAAGGGUCGCCAGGGGACGGGUCCGCGUCCCAUCAGCUAGUUGGUGAGGUAAUGGCUCACCAAGGCAAAGACGGGUAGCUGGUCUGAGAGGAUGAUCAGCCACACUGGAACUGAGACACGGUCCAGACUCCUACGGGAGGCAG